GAUGAACGCUGGCGGCGUGCCUAAUACAUGCAAGUCGAGCGAACAGAUGAGGAGCUUGCUCCUCUGACGUUAGCGGCGGACGGGUGAGUAACACGUGGAUAACCUACCUAUAAGACUGGGAUAACUUCGGGAAACCGGAGCUAAUACCGGAUAAUAUAUUGAACCGCAUGGUUCAAUAGUGAAAGACGGUUUUGCUGUCACUUAUAGAUGGAUCCGCGCCGCAUUAGCUAGUUGGUAAGGUAACGGCUUACCAAGGCGACGAUGCGUAGCCGACCUGAGAGGGUGAUCGGCCACACUGGAACUGAGACACGGUCCAGACUCCUACGGGAGGCAGCAGUAGGGAAUCUUCCGCAAAGGGCGAAAGCCUGACGGAGCAACGCCGCGUGAGUGAUGAAGGUCUUCGGAUCGUAAAACUCUGUUAUUAGGGAAGAACAAAUGUGUAAGUAACUAUGCACGUCUUGACGGUACCUAAUCAGAAAGCCACGGCUAACUACGUG
rnacentral:rRNA from 1 species